UUUCCGUAGGUGAACCUGCGGAAGGAUCAUUCAUAAUAAGUGUGUUAUGGCACUUCUUUAAAUUCAUACCCACCUUUUGUGCAAUGUCAGGGUUGAUUUUUCUGUCGAGAGGAUCAGCCCCAAACAUCAAUUAUAUCUCAACUCAUUGUCUGAAAAAUAUUAUGCAUAAAACAAUUCAAAUUACAACUUUCAACAACGGAUCUCUUGGCUCUC
rnacentral:misc_RNA from 1 species